AUCUUUGUUUGUACCACUCAGAAUGCUCCUAAUCUUAUCUGAUCUCUAAAAUUAAAUAGGUUUGGGUAUGGUUUGUAGUUGGAUGGGAGACCACAUAUGAAUAGCUGAUGCUAUUCUUU
rnacentral:rRNA from 1 species